AUCAUUUUCACUACCAUAUCGUACCCAUGUCACUUGGUCGCGUAAAGUCUUUUAGUUCAAACGUCGCAGGUAUUAUUUUUGUGUUUGUUAUUUAUGUGUGUGGUGAUCUAUACCUUACUGAACUUUAAAACCUGUUUGCCCGGCGGACUAAGAAAGAUAUUAAAUGUUUUGUGAAACACUUGUACUGCUCACAAGAAGUUUACAACAAUGUCGUGGUGUGGAAGCCCUAGGCCUAUAUAGCCUAGUAGCCUAGCUACCCGUGUGCUCUGCUGUCGACUUACCGGCGUGUGGUCUAAUGAAGAGGAAAAUCGCAAUCCGGAAAGCACAUCUAUUAAUUGAUAUCCACUGGUGGUGUGUAAGCCGUCAAAACACACCGCCAGUGGCUGUAUUAACUAGGAACUACUUCUGCAAAGGAGGAGUGUAGACUCGUGUCGAACUCUCCAAAGACCUGGGUGACACGGGUGAUGUCCCCAGACAGUACAUUUUGGAAGGCUUGCUUCAACCCCGGUGACAUUAUCAGAAGUUCUGCUGUCGAAGUUGGUCGUUUCCAACUGUCCAUCUUUAGUGAAGAAUUCUGUCGCUGAUGCGUACCAGUAAUAAUUCAAGUACACUGAUGAUGCUCAGAGGAAGAUGAGCCCUCUGACGGGCUUUUGUGAGCAUUUGUUUGCAUGGAGAUAAUUAUGGAUAGUUGUGCUGUCAUUAUUAACUUUUGAACAUAAUAGCUUUCUUUUACGAAUGGCUUUCAGUUA